ACACGGGGACUGAUUUACCACAACCUUUUGAAGACCCAUCUCCCUCACCCCCUUCAGUUUGAAGAAAUCUCCGUGAAAGUGUUGCAUUUAAAAGUAGUCAUCUGUCAAUCAUCACGUAGAUCAAUUAUGGCAUCGAGUCAAUCAUCAUCAUGUGUAGUUAAUGAUCUUGAAAUGGAAUCACCGAGUUGUUGGUGUGUUUUGAAAGCGCCAUUAAAGAUCUCCCACACUCACAAAAAUCCUGGAAUGAAAUUUUAUGCUUGUCCGAGUUAUGGAACGGGAGAAACAAGAUGUCAAUUCUUCAUUUGGGCAGAUAUACUUCAAUCAGUAUUAUCUGAGAAAAACCUGACAAGAGAGAAUGAAAUUCGGAAGAGGGAGGAUGCUUUGUUGUUGCGUGAGUAUGAAGCUAAAAAAAAAGAGGACAAACUAAUAGAGAGAGAGAAAAUGCUUCAGAAGCAAGAUGACGACCUUCAUAGAAGGAUAGUAGAGAAUAGGGUUGUACGUAUAUUGUUGUGUCUAUAUUGGAUUGUAUCUCUUGUAAUUGUUUUUGGUUGGUUCUGAAUGUAGAUGUAUCAUAUUAGUUUUAAAUGAAAACAGAUUGAUGGAAUCCUAACAUGUAUGAUAUAUUAUCUAUGAAUAUAAUUAUGACAGCUUAUAUGUAUAUGAAGUUC